rnacentral:rRNA from 1 species
AACGAACGCUGGCGGCAGGCCUAACACAUGCAAGUCGAACGAUGUAGCAAUACAUAGUGGCGCACGGGUGAGUAACGCGUGGGAAUGUACCUUUUGGUGGGGAAUAACUCCGGGAAACUGGAGCUAAUACCGCAUACGCCCUUCGGGGGAAAGAUUUAUCGCCAAAAGAUCAGCCCGCGUGAGAUUAGAUAGUUGGUGGGCUAAUGGCCUACCAAGUCUACGAUCUCUAGCUGGUCUUAGAGGAUGACCAGCCACACUGGAACUGAGACACGGUCCAGACUCCUACGGGAGGCAGCAGUGGGGAAUAUUGGGCAAUGGGCGCAAGCCUGACCCAGCCAUGCCGCGUGAGUGAUGAAGGCUCUAGGGUUGUAAAGCUCUUUCGCCGAUGAAGAUAAUGACGGUAGUCGGAGAAGAAGCCCCGGCUAACUUCGUGCCAGCCGCCGCGGUAA